rnacentral:lncRNA from 1 species
AUGCCCACGGCCAGGGCCACCACUGAAGGGCAAUCUUCUGCUACUAGGCCUCUUGCCACUGCCUCCCCAGCUGGAUUCAAAGCUGCAGGAAUACUCCAGGCCCUCCAGGUGUCAAAGCUGGGCUUUACUUGCUGCUCUCCUUACCUUCUGCACUACCAGUCUCACCCUUCCUUCAAACCAAGUUAAGAGAGGGGGACUCUGCUAUUUCUGGUUGACCUUAUCCUGUGUUUUGUAAGGAUCUGGAGUUGCACAGGUGGAGGAAGUGGUCGGAGGAGAGGAGAAAGUUACGGAAACAGCUGCUGUGGGAGAAGCACUUCACUCCCUCUCUGCUCCAUAGUCUGUGCUAAAAUCCAAGUGGGAAAUGGAAAUGGGGAGUUAUGCUAUUUCCAGGUUUCUGUUGGGGGCCUUUCCAUGCUGAAACCAAAUCAUAGGAUGUAAGACAGGGACACUCCAGUUUCCUUCUAAAGUGGUGGCAGGACCAUUUAUUCAUGUAAAUCCUGACAGGGUUAAUUGAAUUGUUUCGACACUCGUUAGGUGAAUGUGGAGGAGAUGGGUGUGUGCCUGCUCUCCUGCUCUGUUUCCCUCACAUCCCUCUCCCAUUGUUAUCUUCUUAAUUUCACAUUUUUCAGUCAUGGUGGGGGUGUGGGGAACAAUCAUUCCCAGUUGCUACCAACCAUAAGUACAAACUGAAUGCAGACUGCUCCUCAAUCACUGAGCACUGAUUUUACCCAACAAUAUUGGACCACUCCAGGAUGGGAGCCAUCAUUCAAAGUGUCCCCCAGAAAGUUGCCACUGGAAAUAUAUGAAUACUGAUUUGUGUGUGUGUGUGUGUGUGUGUGUGUGUGUGUGUGUGUGUGUGUGUGUCUUUUUGCCAUUUCUUGGCCGCUCCUGAGGCAUAUGGAGGUUCCCGGGCUAGGGGUCGAAUCGGAGCUGUAGCUGCCAGCCUACGCCAGAGCCACAGCAACGCAGGAUCCGAGCCGCGUCUGCGAGCUACACCACAGCUCACGGCAACGCCGGAACCCUGACCCACUGAGCAAGGGCAGGGAUCGAACCCGCAACGGGAACUCCUGAAUACUGAUUUUUUUAAUUGAAGUAUAAUUGAUUUACAAUGUUAUAUUAAUUUCUGAUGUAUAGCAAAGUGAUUCAUAUAUAUAUAUAUAUAUAUAUAUAUAUAUAUAUAUAUAUCCCAUUAUAGGUUACAACAAGAUACUGAAUAUAGUUCCCUGUGCUACACAGUAGGACUUGUUGUUCAUAUAUUUUAUAUAUAGUAGCUUGUAUCUACUAAUCCCAAACUCCUAAUUUAUCCUUCCCUUCUUGACUAUAUUUUUAGAAACAAAUAAACUUAAAAAAAAAAAAAAACGGAGUUCCCGU